UAUUAUAAAUAGGAUAUUGUUAUUUUUAAUUUAGGUCUAUUAUUUCAUAUAUUAUGAUAACAUAAUCGUUACAAUUUUAUCAUUCAUAAUUCAGUGGAUUAACCUAGGUAAUUCCCGGUAUAAAUAUAGUAGCCUAAAUGUGAGACUAUUAAUUUUUGAAAUUUCAUUCUAACUUGGAAAUUUCAUUAAAGGUGGAAUACUUUGACUUCUAUAGGAGGCAAUGUUUUGUGAUGGGCUGCUCACAAGGAGGAUGAGUCGAAGAAAGAACUUGAUAAAGAUUGUACUACGCAAUAAAAAGGUAGCAAAAUAGCAAAGAUGGAUCUAGUAAGGCUUUGGUUGAUGGUAUCACUUCCCCUAAGUACUCUGCAUACCAGGUGAGGAUGCCACAGUGGAUCCAGUCCAGUCCAGAUUCAGUCAUGCUACUUCGAUGGUCCAGUUUGAAACAACUCAAUGCCAAUGACACAAUCACAUCAAGGAACAGACAUGGACAACUGCGACUGGCCAACCCAUGAAUUGGAUCAAGAUCAAGACACCUUUGAAGAAAUGUAUCGCAUUCAGGACUCAACAUUACAUGAAUGAUCAAGGUUGAUAUUUAGAUCACAGUCAUUUAAAACAUCCAAUGGAAAUGAUAGUGCUCGAGCCAGAGGUACUAGUUGGAGAAGAAGAAAAUCCAGAACAAUAUGGAGAAACAUUUACAGUAAAAGAAGUGGAAGUGGAAAGGAAAGAGAUUCGGCAAGAAAAUAGCACGGGUAUGCUGAUUGAAAGAGACUAUUCAAUUUCAUCAGAUAGACUGUGACUCUAAAAUAGUGGAAAAGUUGAAAAUGAAUAAAGUAUGGAGCAAGAAGAGUCAUUUGUAACAAAUCAUUCAGAAACAUUGUUGCAAAUACCAGAGAUAAGGGCAGAUCUACUGACUUCUCUCUGAAAUUAUGCAACUAUUCAUCUGAAACUAAAAAUUGUGGAGGAGAGUUGAUGUAUUCAGAAAUUUGUGUUGAUGAACAAAUAAGUGCAAGUUCUUCUGAAGAUGCUAAUCAGCUAGCAAUGAGUUGGAUUUAGUGAUUAAAAAUGUACAAGAUUAUGGAGAAAUGUCCUUAAUCUGUAAAUUUUGUGACAAUCCCUACAAAUCUUCUUCCCAGCUCAGAAAACAUUUGAAAACACAUACCGGAGAAAGAGCUUACAACUGUGAUUUCUGUGACUGAAAAGCAACACAAAUCGAAUCUCAUCGCUCAUUUAAAGACACACACUCUCAGGAGAAAUAUCCUAUAGCUGUGAUUUCUGUGACUACAAAGCAACAAAUGAAUUGAAUCUCAUCGCACUUUUAAGGUAGGCGCACACAGAUCGUCAUCGGACAGACGGCACGCAUCGAAUGGAUCCGACAAUUAGAUUUGAUGCAUUGUUUUCAAUUGGAGUGCGCAUACCUAUACGAUGCGGGUAGGUAUACAGUGUGAUAAUAAGAUAACAAACACAAAUUAAUACAAAUGACGAUAAGAUAUUUGAACUUAUCAAAUAUAAGUUCAAAUACAGGCAUAUUAAACCUACAUUACCUUCAUUUCACUCUUACAUUAACCUUCAUCACAUCAAAUACAUAUGAUGAAGGCAUCUUCAUCACGUGUACAAACACGGCAGAAUGACAGGUAUACCUAUCCGCAUCGUAUAGGUAUGCGCACUCCAAUUGUAAACAAUGCAUCAAAUCUAAUCGUCCGAUGCGUGCCGUCCGUCCGAUGACGAUCUGUGUGUGCCUACCUUUAAAGACACACACGCAGUAGAGAUAUACUACAGUUGUGAUUUCUGUGGUUACAAAGCAACACAUAAAUCUAAUCUCAUCGCUCACUUAAAGACACACACAAGAGAAAUAUCCUUUAGCUGUGAUAUCUUUGACUACAAAGCAACGUAUAAAUCGAAUUUUAUCACCCAUUCAAAGAUAAUCACAGGAAAAAGACUCUACAACUGUGAUUUCUGUUACUACAAAUAAACAAAGAAAUCAAGUCUCAUCGCUCAUUCAAUGACACACAAUGGUGAAAGACUCUGCAGCUGUGAAUUCUGUGACUACAAAGCAACAAAUAAAUCAAAUAUUAUCAGUCAGUAUGAAUGAAUCUUAUCAGUACUCUUAUUGUAUGAAUGAUUAAAGAAUAAAUAUGUUUGAUUUAAGAUA